rnacentral:rRNA from 1 species
GACAGGUGGUGCAUGGUUGUCGUCAGCUCGUGUCGUGAGAUGUUGGGUUAAGUCCCGCAACGAGCGCAACCCUUGAUCUUAGUUGCCAGCAUUUAGUUGGGCACUCUAAGGUGACUGCCGGUGACAAACCGGAGGAAGGUGGGGAUGACGUCAAAUCAUCAUGCCCCUUAUGACCUGGGCUACACACGUGCUACAAUGGAUGGUACAAAGGGCAGCAAAACCGCGAGGUCGAGCCAAUCCCAUAAAACCAUUCUCAGUUCGGAUUGUAGGCUGCAACUCGCCUACAUGAAGCUGGAAUCGCUAGUAAUCGCGGAUCAGCAUGCCGCGGUGAAUACGUUCCCGGGCCUUGUACACACCGCCCGUCACACCACGAGAGUUUGUAACACCCGAAGUCGGUGGGGUAACCCUUCUGGGAGCCAGCCGCCUAAGGUGGGAUAGAUGAUUGGGGUGAAGUCGUAACAAGGUAGCCGUAUCGGAAGGUGCGGCUGGAUCACCUCCUU